rnacentral:rRNA from 1 species
GAAUCUGGAGACAGGUGCUGCAUGGCUGUCGUCAGCUCGUGUCGUGAGAUGUGGGUUAAGUCCCGCAACGAGCGCAACCCUUGCCUUUAGUUGCCAGCAGUUCGGCUGGGCACUCUAAAGGGACUGCCGGUGUUAAACCGGAGGAAGGUGGGGAUGACGUCAAGUCCUCAUGGCCCUUACGGCCUGGGCUACACACGUGCUACAAUGGUCGGUACAAAGGGUUGCCAAGCCGCGAGGUGGAGCUAAUCCCAUAAAACCGAUCGUAGUCCGGAUCGCAGUCUGCAACUCGACUGCGUGAAGUCGGAAUCGCUAGUAAUCGUGAAUCAGAAUGUCACGGUGAAUACGUUCCCGGGCCUU